AUAUCAGUAAGCGGAGGAAAAGAAACUAACAAGGAUUCCCCUAGUAACGCGAGUGAAGCGGGAAAUAGCUCAAAUUUUAAAUCCCCCACCUUUACGGCGUGUUGGGAGUUGUAAUCUACGACGUGUGGCCAGCGUGUGACCCGGGUAUAACUCCUUUGGAAAAGGGGAUCACAGAGGGUGAGAAUCCCGUAUGUGACCUGGAGUUCGCCGCGUACGGUACACGUUCUGAGAGUCGCGUUGUUUGGGAGUACAGCGCAAAAUGGGUGGUAAACUUCAUCUAAAGCUAAAUAUUGGCGGGAGACCGAUAGCGCACAAGUA
rnacentral:rRNA from 1 species